rnacentral:rRNA from 1 species
UACGUAGGGUGCAAGCGUUGUCCGGAAUUAUUGGGCGUAAAGAGCUCGUAGGCGGUUUGUCGCGUCGAAUGUGAAAACCCGGGGCUCAACUCCGGGCCUGCAUUCAAUACGGGCAGACUAGAGUUCGGUAGGGGAGUCUGGAAUUCCUGGUGUAGCGGUGAAAUGCGCAGAUAUCAGGAGGAACACCGGUGGCGAAGGCGGGUCUCUGGGCCGAUACUGACGCUGAGGAGCGAAAGCGUGGGGAGCGAACAGG